rnacentral:rRNA from 1 species
AUUGAACGCUGGCGGCAGGCCUAACACAUGCAAGUCGAGCGGAUGAAGGGAGCUUGCUCCUGGAUUCAGCGGCGGACGGGUGAGUAAUGCCUAGGAAUCUGCCUGGUAGUGGGGGAUAACGUCCGGAAACGGGCGCUAAUACCGCAUACGUCCUGAGGGAGAAAGUGGGGGAUCUUCGGACCUCACGCUAUUAGAUGAGCCUAGGUCGGAUUAGCUAGUUGGUGGGGUAAAGGCCUACCAAGGCGACGAUCCGUAACUGGUCUGAGAGGAUGAUCAGCCACACUGGAACUGAGACACGGUCCAGACUCCUACGGGAGGCAGCAGUGGGGAAUAUUGGACAAUGGGCGAAAGCCUGAUCCAGCCAUGCCGCGUGUGUGAAGAAGGUCUUCGGAUUGUAAAGCACUUUAAGUUGGGAGGAAGGGCAGUAAGUUAAUACCUUGCUGUUUUGACGUUACCAACAGAAUAAGCACCGGCUAACUUCGUG